rnacentral:rRNA from 1 species
UGGGGAAUAUUGGACAAUGGGCGCAAGCCUGAUCCAGCCAUGCCGCGUGAGUGACGAAGGUCUUCGGGUUGUAAAGCUCUUUUGGCGGGGACGAUAAUGACGGUACCCGCAGAAUAAGCCCCGGCUAACUUCGUGCCAGCAGCCGCGGUAAUACGAAGGGGGCUAGCGUUGUUCGGAAUUACUGGGCGUAAAGCGCACGUAGGCGGAUAUGCCAGUCAGGGGUGAAAUCCCGAGGCUCAACCUCGGAACUGCCUCCGAUACAGCAUGUCUCGAGUCCGGAAGAGGUGAGUGGAAUUCCUAGUGUAGAGGUGAAAUUCGUAGAUAUUAGGAAGAACACCGGUGGCGAAGGCGGCCCACUGGAUCGGUACUGACGCUGAGGUGCGAAAGCGUGGGGAGCAAACAGGAUUAGAUACCCGAGUAGUCCCUGAGCGGGCUGGCAAGGCGCAU